GGUGGUAUGGUCUAGUGGUAUGACGUCACGUUGUGGUUACACACAAAUCCCGUGCCAGCCUGGGUUCGAUUCCCGUGAGUCUAUCACCU